rnacentral:rRNA from 1 species
GACGAACGCUGGCGGCGUGCUUAACACAUGCAAGUCGAACGGAAAGGCCCUGCUUUUGUGGGGUGCUCGAGUGGCGAACGGGUGAGUAACACGUGAGUAACCUGCCCUUGACUUUGGGAUAACUUCAGGAAACUGGGGCUAAUACCGGAUAGGAGCUCCUGCUGCAUGGUGGGGGUUGGAAAGUUUCGGCGGUUGGGGAUGGACUCGCGGCUUAUCAGCUUGUUGGUGGGGUAGUGGCUUACCAAGGCUUUGACGGGUAGCCGGCCUGAGAGGGUGACCGGCCACAUUGGGACUGAGAUACGGCCCAGACUCCUACGGGAGGAAGCAGUGGGGAAUAUUGCACAAUGGGCGGAAGCCUGAUGCAGCAACGCCGUGUGCGGGAUGACGGCCUUCGGGUUGUAAACCGCUUUCGCCUGUGACGAAGCGUGAGUGACGGUAAUGGGUAAAGAAGCACCGGCUAACUACGU